UUCCGGGGAUCAAGCGUUACGUCGUCCGCUGCGGGACUACGGCUGCAACGUUAAAACUCAAAUGAAUUGACGGGGGCCCGCACAAGCGGUGGAGCAUGUGGUUUAUUUCGAUGCAACGCGAAGAACCUUACCUGGUCUUGACAUCCACGGAAGUUUUCAGAGAUGAGAAUGUGCCUUCGGGAACCGUGAGACAGGUGCUGCAUGGCUGUCGUCAGCUCGUGUUGUGAAAUGUUGGGUUAAGUCCCGCAACGAGCGCAACCCUUAUCCUUUGUUGCCAGCGGUCCGGCCGGGAACUCAAAGGAGACUGCCAGUGAUAAACUGGAGGAAGGUGGGGAUGACGUCAAGUCAUCAUGGCCCUUACGACCAGGGCUACACACGUGCUACAAUGGCGCAUACAAAGAGAAGCGACCUCGCGAGAGCAAGCGGACCUCAUAAAGUGCGUCGUAGUCCGGAUUGGAGUCUGCAACUCGACUCCAUGAAGUCGGAAUCGCUAGUAAUCGUGGAUCAGAAUGCCACGGUGAAUACGUUCCCGGGCCUUGUACACACCGCCCGUCACACCAUGGGAGUGGGUUGCAAAAGAAGUAGGUAGCUUAACCUUCGGGAGGG
rnacentral:rRNA from 1 species